rnacentral:rRNA from 1 species
AGAGCGAACGCUGGCGGCAGGCCUAACACAUGCAAGUCGAGCGCCCCGCAAGGGGAGCGGCAGACGGGAGAGUAACACGUGGGAACGUACCCUUUGGUUCGGAACAACACAGGGAAACUUGUGCUAAUACCGGAUAAGCCCUUACGGGGAAAGAUUUAUCGCCAAAGGAUCGGCCCGCGUCUGAUUAGCUUGUUGGUGAGGUAACGGCUCACCAAGGCUACGAUCAGUAGCUGGUCUGAGAGGAUGAUCAGCCUCACUGGGACUGAGACACGGCCCAGACUCCUACGGGAGGCAGCAGUGGGGAAUAUUGGACAAUGGGCGCAAGCCUGAUCCAGCCAUGCCGCGUGGAUGAUGAAGGCCCUAGGGUUGUAAAGUCCUUUCGGACGGGGAAGAUAAUGACGGUACCCGUAGAAGAAGCCCCGGCUAACGUUCGCGCCAGCCAGCCGC